CAGGCCUAACACAUGCAAGUCGAGCGAACAGACGAGGAGCUUGCUCCUUUGACGUUAGCGGCGGACGGGUGAGUAACACGUAGGUAACCUACCUAUAAGACUGGGAUAACUUCGGGAACCCGGAGCUAAUACCGGAUAAUAUUUCGAACCGCAUGGUUCGAUAGUGAAAGAUGGCUUUGCUAUCACUUAUAGAUGGACCUGCGCCGUAUUAGCUAGUUGGUAAGGUAACGGCUUACCAAGGCAACGAUACGUAGCCGGCCUGAGAGGGUGAUCGGCCACACUGGAACUGAGACACGGUCCAGACUCCUACGGGAGGCAGCAGUAGGGAAUCUUCCGCAAUGGGCGAAAGCCUGACGGAGCAACGCCGCGUGAGUGAUGAAGGUCUUCGGGAUCGUAAAACUCUGUUAUUAGGGAAGAACG
rnacentral:rRNA from 1 species